GACGAACGCUGGCGGCGUGCUUAACACAUGCAAGUCGAACGGUAAGGCCCUUCGGGGUACACGAGUGGCGAACGGGUGAGUAACACGUGGGUGAUCUGCCCUGCACUUCGGGAUAAGCCUGGGAAACUGGGUCUAAUACCGGAUAGGACCACUGCCUGCAUGGGUGGUGGUGGAAAGCUUUUGCGGUGUGGGAUGGGCCCGCGGCCUAUCAGCUUGUUGGUGGGGUGAUGGCCUACCAAGGCGACGACGGGUAGCCGGCCUGGGAGGGGGGCCGGCCACACGGGGACUGAGAUACGGCCCAGACUCCUACGGGAGGCAGCAGUGGGGAAUAUUGCACAAUGGGCGCAAGCCUGAUGCAGCGACGCCGCGUGAGGGAUGACGGCCUUCGGGUUGUAAACCUCUUUCAGCACCGACGAAGCGCAAGUGACGGUAGGUGCAGAAGAAGGACCGGCCAACUACGUGCCAGCCGCCGCAGUAA
rnacentral:rRNA from 1 species